CUACCAUAUCUGUCGUCUUUCUUAUGUGCGCUUUGAACAUCUGUCAAAAUAUUUACAUCGAUGUUUAUCUUUGCGACACAAAGUUUUCAUCAUGGUUAAAUUAUUAAAUCGAAAUUUAGUGCUUCCUGUCGAAUAUACAAAACAAAUUUCAUCAUUACCAAGAUAUUUGAGUUAUACAAAUGUUGUGCGAACCAAAACAAACUUAACCAUAUGAAUCGGAAUUGGUAUGAUCCUCGGUGAAUUUGCCCACGAAAAUUUGUCGGUCUGAAAAAUCGUGCAACUGAAAAUGGAAAACCAGAACGGUCGGUCAUUACAUUCGUUCUUUUCUUCUGCAAUGAAGCCAGCAAGGAAAAAAUGACAACAAGUCAGUCAAAGGUAGAAUAUAACGCUCAAAUACGCCUAUAAACAGAAGUACGAAGUCUUGCUUAAUGACUACAAAAAGUUCCAGCUUGGGAGAAACAAAUGAUAUCAAAGGAAUUGACCGACCUUGUUAGAAACCGACCGAAAAAAAUUGGUAGAAAAAUUUAGAAAAGACGGAGUAAAUACCUAAAUUUCUAAAUUAUUCCGUGUUCAACAUGCAUACACCAUUCAACAAAUUAAUGAGAAGUCAUUUAUACUGCAAUGAAAAUACGUAACA